rnacentral:rRNA from 1 species
AACGAACGCUGGCGGCAGGCCUAACACAUGCAAGUCGAGCGGCCCUUUCGGGGCAGCGGCGGACGGGUGAGUAACGCGUGGGAACGUGCCCAAAGGUACGGAACAACCGCUGGAAACGGCGGCUAAUGCCGUAUGUGCCCUAGCUGUAGCGAUACGGCGGGGGCAAAGAUUAUCGCCUUUGGAUCGGCCGCGUCGGAUUAGGUAGUUGGUGGGGUAACGGCCCACCAAGCCGACGAUCCGUAGCUGGUUUGAGAGGAUGAUCAGCCACACUGGGACUGAGACACGGCCCAGACUCCUACGGGAGGCAGCAGUGGGGCAAUCUUGGACAAUGGGGGUCAAGCCCUGAUCCAGCCAUGCCGCGUGAGCGAUGAAGGCCCUAGGGUUGUAAAGCUCUUUCACCCGUGAAGAUAAUGACGGUAGCGGGAGAAGAAGCCCCCGGCUAACUCCGUGCCAGCAGCCGCGGUAAUACGGAGGGGGUCUAGCGUUGUUCGGAAUUACUGGGCGUAAAGGGCGCGUAGGCGGAGAUUCGAGUCGGGGCUGAAAUCCCGGGGCUCACCCGAACUGCCUCCGAUACUGGGUCUCUAGGGGACGGGAGAGGCGAGUGGAAUGCCGAGUGUAGAGGUGAAAUUCGUAGAUAUUCGGCGGAACACCCGUGGCGAAGGCGGCUC